AUGACUCGUGCUAUAUAUAGAGACCGACGCUGCUCCCAUCAUCGUUUCAUCACACUUAGCCAUUCCGGAGGAGCAAGUGACUUUUUUUUUUUUUUUUGCCACUGCUUUGUGUUUUUGCGAGCACACGAUGACACACAACUUUCCUACUCGUCAGGAGGGUUUUCAGGUAUACACCGACGCAUCAGUCACUACAGAUGUAUCAGCCCGGUGCAGAACGAAGUAGCCAGCCAGCACGCUGCUUCCUCCUACUUAUCAGGAUUGAUGCGGAGACAAGUUUCGGAAAACGCGGCCUGCCCAAGGACGCAGGAUGUUAAAAGGGAUCACCGCUCGACAUCCCAUUCAGCACAUCGGGAUGGCCAGACAAGCAGCAGAGAGCUUGGUGCUGGCUGCAGGAUUACCGACCCGCACCAGCGAAGGAAACCGAGAACCCGAAAUCUUGAAUGCUGGCAAGACCUCAGAAACUUAAAGGAAUACCUGAAAUUGAAAGAAAGAGGAAGACAGCGUCCUUCAAGAGUGAAUGAAGUUGGAAACAAAGGAGCGCCGAAGACUCCAGUUCUACCUAACCGAAACCUUCCCGAGGCCUACCAGGCUACGGCAGAAUUGCCACGGAAAAAUCACCAUCAGCAAGCUUACGUACAGGAAAAUGUAUUCAGGUGAUUCACGGCGGACCUUUACAAAGCUUUCAUGUGAUUUAGAGAUUAAAACGAGAACUCCUCGGCUAGAUCUCCAGAGCUCUUUGCAGUUUGGAUGCACGCUGAUGUCAUUUUGGGCAUACGCCCUACCCCAGCUUUCUGCAGGCGAACAAGGUCACCUCAUCAGAGACGCAACUUUCUUGCUGCCAGUUCUCAAGAGCACUUUUCUCCGACUUUUUUUUACUCUUUAAACCGAUGCAACUUGUUGUACGCAGGGGUUUUAGCUGCUGACAGCGAAGGAAGUCACUUUUCUGAUCAGAAUGAGGACUGGUAAAUUCACCGAAGGUUGGAUUCGACAGCAAACUCGAAUCCCCACAGGGAGCCGGUACGAUGCCAUGCAUGGAAUCUAGUUUUCCUGGCUCCCAGUCGCAUGCCUAAACAAGAAUAAAAGCAUACAAGUAUCUUUUCCUUUGUUGUUC
rnacentral:lncRNA from 1 species